rnacentral:rRNA from 1 species
AGAGUUUGAUCAUGGCUCAGAGUGAACGCUGGCGGCAGGCCUAAUACAUGCAAGUCGAACGGCAGCACAGCAGAGCUUGCUCUGUGGGUGGCGAGUGGCGGACGGGUGAGGAAUACAUGGGAAUCUGCCCAGUCGUGGGGGAUAACGUAGGGAAACUUACGCUAAUACCGCAUGCGCCCUUCGGGGGAAAGCCGGGGACCUUCGGGCCUGGCGCGAUUGGAUGGGCCCGCGGCCUAUCAGCUUGUUGGUGGGGUAAUGGCCUACCAAGGCGACGACGGGUAGCCGGCCUGAGAGGGUGACCGGCCACACUGGGACUGAGAUACGGCCCAGACUCCUACGGGAGGCAGCAGUGGGGAAUAUUGCACAAUGGGCGCAAGCCUGAUGCAGCGACGCCGCGUGAGGGAUGACGGCCUUCGGGUUGUAAACCUCUUUCAAUAGGGACGAAGCGCAAGUGACGGUACCUAUAGAAGAAGGACCGGCCAACUACGUG